GAUCAUGGCUCAGGAUGAACGCUGGCGGCGUGCUUAACACAUGCAAGUCGAACGAUGAACCGGAGCUUGCUCUGGGGAUUAGUGGCGAACGGGUGAGUAACACGUGGGCAACCUGCCCCAGACACCGGGAUAACCAUUGGAAACGAUGGCUAAUACCGGAUACGACCACUUCGGGCAUCCGAUGGUGGUGGAAAGGAUUCUGGUCUGGGAUGGGCCCGCGGCCUAUCAGCUUGUUGGUGGGGUAAUGGCCUACCAAGGCUUCGACGGGUAGCCGGCCUGAGAGGGUGACCGGCCACACUGGGACUGAGACACGGCCCAGACUCCUACGGGAGGCAGCAGUGGGGAAUAUUGGACAAUGGGCGGAAGCCUGAUCCAGCAACGCCGCGUGAGGGAUGACGGCCUUCGGGUUGUAAACCUCUUUCAGUACCGACGAAGCGCCGAUGAUGGUGGUGACGGUAGGUACAGAAGAAGCACCGGCCAACUACGUG
rnacentral:rRNA from 1 species